GGCGGCGGCGGCGGCACAGAGGAUGAACAUGGGACCCAUAAACAGACGCUUCGUCCUGUUUAUGGGUCGCAGACUUUGUGGACAAACAUAGAGACCAGUUGAUCCAAACAGUGAAGAACUUGGGACCCAUUAUGGAUGAACUUCUCCAGAACGGCGUUCUGCAUCCAGAGACCUACAACGACAUCAGAUCUCUGCGGACCGCUGAGUCUCAGAUGAGGGAGAUUUUUAUCCACCUUGGUGCUGGAGACGAAUGCAAGAAUAUUUUCUUCUCCAUCCUUCAGAAGAACGAACGUUUUCUGGUCUCAGACCUGCAGAUGGACGACUAGAUGUUGAGAGAAAAUAAAAAUUUUUAUGAAAUAUGAGUUGUUUUCUGGUUUUUGUUCUUUUGCACAGAAGAGGAACAUUUUCCUUCACUGUAACGUCUCCAUGUCUGCGUAACAUUGUCUGUUACAUUUAAAUUAAACUGAUAUCUUAUUU